rnacentral:rRNA from 1 species
UACGAAGGGGGCUAGCGUUGUUCGGAAUUACUGGGCGUAAAGCGUGCGCAGGCGGCCUUCCAAGUCAGGGGUGAAAGCCCAGAGCUCAACUCUGGAAUUGCCUUUGAGACUGUGAGGCUUGAGUACGGGAGAGGUGAGUGGAAUUCCCAGUGUAGAGGUGAAAUUCGUAGAUAUUGGGAAGAACACCGAUGGCGAAGGCAGCCCCCUGGGCUAACACUGACGCUCAGCACGAAAGCGUGGGGAGCAAACAGG